rnacentral:rRNA from 1 species
UACGGGGGGGCAAGCGUUGUUCGGAAUUACUGGGCGUAAAGGGCUCGUAGGCGGCCAACUAAGUCGGACGUGAAAUCCCUCAGCUUAACUGGGGAACUGCAUCCGAUACUGGAUGGCUUGAAUCCGGGAGAGGGAUGCGGAAUUCCAGGUGUAGCGGUGAAAUGACGUAGAUAUCUGGAGGAACACCGGUGGCGAAGGCGGCAUCCUGGACCGGCAUUGACGCUGAGGAGCGGAAAAGCCAGGGGGAAGCCAAA